AGUGAACGCUGGCGGUAGGCCUAACACAUGCAAGUCGAACGGCAGCACAGUAAGAGCUUGCUCUUACGGGUGGCGAGUGGCGGACGGGUGAGGAAUACAUCGGAAUCUACUUUUUCGUGGGGGAUAACGUAGGGAAACUUACGCUAAUACCGCAUACGACCUACGGGUGAAAGCAGGGGAUCUUCGGACCUUGCGCGAUUGAAUGAGCCGAUGUCGGAUUAGCUAGUUGGCGGGGUAAAGGCCCACCAAGGCGACGAUCCGUAGCUGGUCUGAGAGGAUGAUCAGCCACACUGGAACUGAGACACGGUCCAGACUCCUACGGGAGGCAGCAGUGGGGAAUAUUGGACAAGGGGCGCAAGCCUGAUCCAGCCAUACCGCGUGGGUGAAGAAGGCCUUCGGGUUGUAAAGCCCUUUUGUUGGGAAAGAAAAGCAGCAGGUUAAUACCCCGCUGUUCUGACGGUACCCAAAGAAUAAGCACCGGCUAACUUCGG
rnacentral:rRNA from 1 species